GUUAAGUGACGAAGCGUAUACGGUGGAUGCCUUGGCAGUUAGAGGCGAUGAAGGACGUGUAAGUCUGCGAAAAGCUGUGGUGAGCCGACAAAAUGCAUUUGAGCCACAGAUGUCCGAAUGGGGAAACCCACCUGUUUACAGGUAUCGUUACAUGAAUACAUAGUGUAACGAGGCGAACGAGGGGAACUGAAACAUCUAAGUACCCUUAGGAAAAGAAAUCAACCGAGAUUCCCCUAGUAGCGGCGAGCGAACGGGGAACAGCCCUUAAGCUGUAUUGAAUGUAGUGGAAUCCUUUGGGAAGAGGAGCGAUACAAGGUGAUAGCCCUGUACACGACGGAUUCUUUACAGUGAAAUCGAGUAGGUCGGGACACGUGUUAUCUUGACUGAAUAUGGGGGGACCAUCCUCCAAGGCUAAAUACUCCUAACUGACCGAUAGUGAACCAGUACCGUGAGGGAAAGGCGAAAAGAACCCCUGUGAGGGGAGUGAAAUAGAUCCUGAAACCGUAUGCGUACAAGCAGUCGGAGCGGACUUGUUCCGUGACGGCGUACCUUUUGUAUAAUGGGUCAGCGACUUAUGUUCAGUGGCGAGGUUAACCGUUUAGGGGAGCCGUAGGGAAACCGAGUCUGAAUAGGGCGAUUUAGUCGCUGGGCAUAGACCCGAAACCGGGCGAUCUAUCCAUGAGCAGGUUGAAGGUUGAGUAACAUCAACUGGAGGACCGAACCCACUGUCGUUGAAAAGCCAGGGGAUGACUUGUGGAUCGGAGUGAAAGGCUAAUCAAGCCCGGAGAUAGCUGGUUCUCCCCGAAAGCUAUUUAGGUAGCGCCUCGGACGAAUACCACAGGGGGUAGAGCACUGUUUCGGCUAGGGGGUCAUCCCGACUUACCAACCCGAUGCAAACUCCGAAUACCUGUGAGUACUAUCCGGGAGACACACGGUGGGUGCUAACGUCCAUCGUGAAGAGGGAAACAACCCAGACCGCCAGCUAAGGUCCCCAAAUACCAGUUAAGUGGGAAACGAUGUGGGAAGGCUCAGACAGCUAGGAGGUUGGCUUAGAAGCAGCCACCCUUUAAAGAAAGCGUAAUAGCUCACUAGUCGAGUCGGCCUGCGCGGAAGAUGUAACGGGGCUAAAACUAUGUGCCGAAGCUGCGGAUGUAUACUUUGUAUACGUGGUAGGGGAGCGUUCUGUAAGCCGAUGAAGGUGUGUUGAGAAGCAUGCUGGAGGUAUCAGAAGUGCGAAUGCUGACAUGAGUAACGACAAUGGGGGUGAAAAACCCCCACGCCGGAAGACCAAGGGUUCCUGCGCAACGCUAAUCGGCGCAGGGUGAGUCGGCCCCUAAGGCGAGACCGAAAGGUGUAGUCGAUGGGAAACGGAUUAAUAUUUCCGUACCUUGGAUAGCUGCGAUGGAGAGACGGAGAAGGCUAGGUGAGCCGGGCGACGGUUGUCCCGGUUUAAGCAUGUAGGCAGUGGGAUUAGGCAAAUCCGGUCCCACAAUGCCGAGACGCGACGACGACUGCCCUUUUAGGGCGGGAAGUCAUUGAUGCCCUGCUUCCAGGAAAAUCUUCUAAGCUUCAGGCUAUUCGAGACCGUACCCCAAACCGACACAGGUGGUCAGGUAGAGAAUACUAAGGCGCUUGAGAGAACUCGGGUGAAGGAACUCGGCAAAAUUGUACCGUAACUUCGGGAGAAGGUACGCCUCUGUUUGUGAACACUUCGCGUGGUAAGCAAAUGGAGGCCGCAGUGACCAGGUGGCUGGGACUGUUUAUUAAAAACACAGCACUCUGCAAACUCGUAAGAGGACGUAUAGGGUGUGACACCUGCCCGGUGCCGGAAGGUUAAUUGAUGGGGUUAGUUUUCGGACGAAGCUCUUGAUCGAAGCCCCGGUAAACGGCGGCCGUAACAAUAACGGUCCUAAGGUAGCGAAAUUCCUUGUCGGGUAAGUUCCGACC
rnacentral:rRNA from 1 species